rnacentral:rRNA from 1 species
UACGAAGGGGGCUAGCGUUGUUCGGAAUUACUGGGCGUAAAGCGCUCGUAGGCGGAUCGAUCAGUCAGGGGUGAAAUCCCAGGGCUCAACCCUGGAACUGCCUUUGAUACUGUCGAUCUAGAGUCCGGAAGAGGUGAGUGGAAUUGCGAGUGUAGAGGUGAAAUUCGUAGAUAUUCGCAGGAACACCAGUGGCGAAGGCGGCUCACUGGUCCGGUACUGACGCUGAGGAGCGAAAGCGUGGGGAGCAAACAGG